GAACCAUGAAACGAUCAGUCGAUUUCAGCAUUCGCCAUGAAACACAUCACAGUUUUCUCUCUCGCAACGUGCGUUCUCCUUUUCAUAACUUUCUUCCAUACUUUCCAUUUCGCAUUAGCUCAACCGGUACAACAAACACAAUCUGAUACAGAAGUAGAAAGUCACGCAAGUUUUGUAGUUCAUCCCCACCGGGAUUUAAAUUGAGUGGUAAAAAUCAAUGUGUCCCAACAAAAAAACCAAAAGGGAAACAUUAGUUAAUAAUCAACGGACACACCGAACAAUAAAUACGCUCUGAAUUAAAGCAGUAAAAAUAAAAUCAGUGCAUCAGUAAAAGAACACCCAUAAGAAACACAAAAAACCAUCCAAUGCAGUUUGCGCAUUGGUUUCCGGAUCACGCACGAAAGUUUCCGAAUCGAAUUGUGAUGAGUACAAAGUGUUAAAAGUGCAGUGAGAGUGUAAGGAGCUUACUUUGAAAAAAAAAGAAGCAGUUAUCAAGCUGAACCCUUUGAGCGAUUAACACGCUCAUUAUGUUUUCAUUCAUCAGGAUAGAGUAUGCUGGCUGAUGGAGUUUUUAUUCUUCGCUACCGUAGUUCAAUGAUUAAUUACACUCGUUUUCAACCUGACUCAGUCUCAUAGAGUACAUAAAUAAAUUAAUUCAUCAUUGAUGGUCAGUUGCUGUGCGCUUGCCAUUUCACCAUCUCGGCAUCCAGUCGGCAUCUUCUUAUCAGCAACUUUGUAUGAGGAAUGCUAUGAUUCUAAGAGAAUUGAGUAUGUGCUGUUCGUACCGCAGGACUAUGACCGAUGUUAUUCAGCUCUCCUAUCGCACCGUAACAAAACUCAUAGACUCAUUGCAACGUUGAAGCAUUAUAAACUCUUCCAACAAACUUACACCCCUUACACGAUGCACAAGACUAUAUGAACCAGGAAACGAUCAGUCGGCUACAGCAUUCGCCAUGAAGCGCAUCACAGUCUUCUCUUUCGCAACGUGCGUGCUCCUUUUCAUAACUUGCUUCCAUACUUUGGAUUUAGCAUCAGCUCAAUCGGAACAACAAGGACAAUCUGAUACAGAAGUAGAAAGUCAUGCGUUACGAGUGCCAAAACAGUGCGCAGAUGGGUUUAAACUAGAUCGUAAAAAGCAAUGUGUUCCACUACGAAAACCAAAAGGAUAAAUGUGUGAUGAUAACGGGCAUACGGCGAACAAUGAAUACGCAAAGAAUCGUGUCAAUGUACCGAUUUCAGCGUUGCAACGUGAGAGUAAACCUAAAGCAUCAAAGGACACUCUCAUAAAUAAAACACUCAAAAUCACCCCACACCGUUACCGCCAAUCUCCUCUCGGAAUGAGGUGCAGUGAAAGUGUAACGAGCUUCAAUUGAAUAAAAGAACUACCUACGCCUUUAACGUGUAGAACGUGUAUAUUCUCAAGAAUUAAGAAC